rnacentral:rRNA from 1 species
GACAGAGGCCUCAAGCGUUAGGCGGAAUCACUGGGCUUAAAGCGUGUGUAGGCGGAUCGUUAAGUGUCUUGUGAAAUCCCACGGCUCACCCGUGGAACUGCUGGGCAUACUGGCGAUCUUGGGCCAACUAGGGGCAGCCGGAACAAGCGGUGGAGCGGUGAAAUGCGUAGAUAUCGUCUGGAACGCCGAAGGUGAAAACAGCUCGCUGGGGCUGCGCUGACGCUGAGACACGAAAGCCAGGGGAGCGAACGGG